rnacentral:rRNA from 1 species
AUUGAACGCUGGCGGCAUGCCUUACACAUGCAAGUCGAACGGCAGCAUGAUCUAGCUUGCUAGAUUGAUGGCGAGUGGCGAACGGGUGAGUAAUACAUCGGAACGUGCCCUGUAGUGGGGGAUAACUAGUCGAAAGAUUAGCUAAUACCGCAUACGACCUGAGGGUGAAAGUGGGGGACCGCAAGGCCUCAUGCUAUAGGAGCGGCCGAUGUCUGAUUAGCUAGUUGGUGAGGUAAGGGCUCACCAAGGCGACGAUCAGUAGCUGGUCUGAGAGGACGAUCAGCCACACUGGGACUGAGACACGGCCCAGACUCCUACGGGAGGCAGCAGUGGGGAAUUUUGGACAAUGGGCGAAAGCCUGAUCCAGCAAUGCCGCGUGUGUGAAGAAGGCCUUCGGGUUGUAAAGCACUUUUGUCCGGAAAGAAAUGGCUCUGGUUAAUACCUGGGGUCGAUGACGGUACCGGAAGAAUAAGGACCGGCUAACUACGUG